rnacentral:rRNA from 1 species
AGGCAAAUCUCCAAAAAACGUACUCAGUUCGGAUUGUAGGCUGCAACCCGCCUGCAUGAAGUCGGAAUUGCUAGUAAUGGCAGGUCAGCAUACUGCCGUGAAUACGUUCCCGGGCCUUGUACACACCGCCCGUCACACCAUGAGAGUUGGAGAUACCCGAAGCCUGUGAGCUAACUUUUAGAGGCAGCAGUCGAAGGUAGAAUCAAUGAUUGGGGUGAAGUCGUAACAAGGUAAC